AAAUAUGCUCUAGCAACAAAAAGCUGGUCCUUUAAUUUUUUGAUCAUAGAAUCCUUCAUAUCUUCUUUAUGUUCCUCACGCCAUUUGCAAUAACUGCCAAAUCUCAGCUCACAUAAAUUUUCAGUGUCCUCGACUACAUUUUUAGUGGAUUCAAUUACUUCUGCUGCACCAGCUUUAUCAUUAUUUCCAACUGAAAGUGGUUGCGGCAAAGAAUGACGUGGCACUGGGACUGGGGUACCUUUCUGUUGUUGUUG
rnacentral:misc_RNA from 1 species